rnacentral:lncRNA from 1 species
GAGAGGGCCGUUAGAUGAGGAGGGCAUGAGGGAGAGGGGGACAUCACCCAGGGAGGGAAAGACCGAGAUGAAAAACAAAAGACCGUUGGAGGGAAACGACGGGGAAAAUCUUCGCCUGGCCAUGUAUGCAAAUCGCGUAAUGGGAACCCAGCUCUGCUGUGCGGUGCACAUUCAAACCUGCAGCUCAUUUUGUGAAUUUGCCUGUAUUCUGCCCCCUCUGAGACAUGGCUGAGGCUCCACCGACUCUCGAGAAAGAGUCCCCCCCCCCUGACGGUCAUUGUGCUCCCCGCUCCGGACAAUGUACCGGAAAAAAGCGGAAAGACACACAAAAGCGAAUCGAUGGCAUUAGUAUGAAAGCAGGCAUGUGGCGGGGGAGUUGGUGGGACAAACAUGCAAAACAAAAGGCCUCCAGGAGUCCUGCACGAGCGUCCUCCACGGGGAGUCGCCACGCGGUCGGCGCCGGGCCCCGUAUCAAACCGGUCUGGAAGCGUGCCAAAGGCGGAGGAUUCCUCCCUCCACUGGGUGUCCAUCUUAACAAAAGUGCUUUGAGUAGGCCUAGAUGUCGCGGGAUGCUCAGAGAGUGUGCUGCUGAGAGACGUUGUUCUGCGGAGCGUAGCCGUCACGCCCCGUUGGCCUCGACCGACGGCUGGUGUCCCAUCAAGUGGUCAAGCGCCAGCGAUUGCAGAGCGUUGUUGCGUCACCAUUCCGUGCGCCAUCGAAGCAGGUUUGGGGAAGAAAUUACCAAGAAGAAGACGGUGACCUCAACCAUCUACCAGGAGUUCAGUUCAACAACCUCACGAACCUUCAG